CUGUAGAAUCGCAGAAUGACCGCAGUUGGAAAAGACCUUCCAGAUCAUCGAAUCCGACCAUCUUUCCGUGCUAGCAGGUGGUCUGGAGAAGCGGAGGGUGAAGUUGAGAGCAGGAAAGUGUGUGAAGAGAGCUACGCCCUGUGCUUUCUUCAUCCACCUCGUUGUGCAUCAUGACACUCCCUAGCUCUGGAGGAAGAUGUUGAUUUAGGACUGCUGCCCUCAUUUCCUGUUGUAUCCUCCCUGAAACCUGCUCAUCCCAUGAGCAUCUCUUAUUCCAGUUUCCAAAGCCACACCUGCCUUUUAUUUGUUUGUUGUAAUCUCCUUUGAAGGAGAUUAUGUUUAUGUUAUGAACUUGCCUUUUCCCUUUUGUACCCUUGCAACACUACCUGAAAUUUGAAAACAGCCCAUCACUUUUCUGUUGCAGUCACAGAUUAGAGUAGGCUAUCUUGAUAUAAAUGCAAUAUUGAUGUAAACAUUUAGAAACAACUUGAGCCAAGAUCAGUAGGAUUAAAUCCUACUCUGCCAGUGAAAACCGGGAUGUGUAAUGUUCGUAGAAGUACAAUGGCAUCCAGAACCUUCCUUGGAGGGCCAGACACAUUAAACAGUGUGAAAAUCA